rnacentral:lncRNA from 1 species
GAACCACAUAUUAGUAUUUUCUAUGCUUUAUUGUAUUUUUCUUUAUUUUGUUGACUAUUUCCCCAUUAGAUAUUAAUCCAGCGCAGGCUGCACUUGGGACCUGUGUAGGAGACAUCAGAUUAAGCACCCCAGUCCAGGAAUUGGGUUGACGAUACCAACGAUCAAGAGGAGGCUUAAUUAGAGUCCCUCUGCUAAAGGCAGUGUUCUCAGGUCCUUCUGCCACCAGAGAGGGAGACUCAUUUCAUGCCACUUCACUGCUGUCACAUAGAGAAGUGACAGCACUUGUCACUACCAAUCUCUUAAUGUCUGGUCUCAUCUGAGUCAGUGCCGGGGAGACGCACAGCCCGUUUUUUCCAGGUGUUUGUUGAAACAGCAAGUUGUGCAACAUGUCUGAGCUGUGUUCCGUACCAAGAAGGAAGGCACCACAGGUAUCUCUGUACUCAAAAAAGGAAGAAAAAUGCCGUCCGCUGACUGUUUCCUACCCAUGAACUAAGAAUCUUCAGGAACAUAGCAGCAGAAAUAGCACCUUUGCAAGGAACGUGGACAAUACCUAUGCAUUAAGAGUGCAGUUGCCUACAAGUGUCCAAUGUGUGAGUCCUUUCCUACUAGAGUUAAUUGAAUAGAAAUAAAGAUUUAUUAAGCUAGUUGAUGAAGACA